GCUUGCUUCAGCCACACAAAUACUAAAACUGGAACAGUAUAAAGGAGAUGACAUGGCCCCUGUGCAAGAAUGACGCACGAACCCUCAAAGUGUUCUAUAUUUCU